GAUGAACGCUGGCGGCGUGCCUAAUACAUGCAAGUCGAGCGAACGGACGAGAAGCUUGCUUUUCUGAUGUUAGCGGCGGACGGGUGGGUAACACGUGGAUAACCUACUUAUAAGACUGGGAUAACUUCGGGAAACCGGAGCUGAUACUGGAUAAUAUUUUGAACCGAAUGGUUCAAAAGUGAAAGACGGUCUUGCUGUCACUUAUAGACGGAUCCGCGCUGCAUUAGCUAGUUGGUAAGGUAACGGCUUACCAAGGCAACGAUGCGUAGCCGACCUGAGAGGGUGAUCAGCCACACUGGAACUGAGACACGGUCCAGACUCCUACGGGAGGCAGCAGUAGGGAAUCUUCCACAAUGGGCGAAAGCCUGACGGAGCAACGCCGCGUGAGUGAAGAAGGUCUUCGGAUCGUAAAACUCUGUUAUUAGGGAAGAACAUAUGUGUAAGUAACUGUGCACGUCUUGACGGUACCUAAUCAGAAAGCCACGGCUAACUACGUG
rnacentral:rRNA from 1 species